UCCUUGGUGGUCCAGUGGCUAGGAAUCUACGCUCCCAAUGCAGGGGGCCUUGGUUCGAUCCCUGGUCAGGGAA
rfam:Ovis aries breed Texel chromosome 6, whole genome shotgun sequence.